UCCAGACUCCUACGGGAGGCAGCAGUGAGGAAUAUUGGUCAAUGGGCUUACGCCUGAACCAGCCAAGUCGCGUGAGGGAAGACUGCCCUAUGGGUUGUAAACCUCUUUUGUCAGGGAGCAACGCCGGCUACGUGUAGCCGGACUGAGAGUACCUGAAGAAAAAGCAUCGGCUAACUCCGUGCCAGCAGCCGCGGUAAUACGGAGGAUGCGAGCGUUAUCCGGAUUUAUUGGGUUUAAAGGGUGCGUAGGCGGAAGGCAAAGUGAGGGGUAAAAUCGCGGGGCUCAACCUCGCUCCGCCGUUGAAACUGGCGUUCUUGAGUGGGCGAGAAGUAUGCGGAAUGCGUGGUGUAGCGGUGAAAUGCAUAGAUAUCACGCAGAACUCCGAUUGCGAAGGCAGCAUACCGGCGCCCAACUGACGCUGAAGCACGAAAGCGUGGGUAUCGAACAGGAUUA
rnacentral:rRNA from 1 species